UACGGAGGGUGCGAGCGUUAAUCGGAAUUACUGGGCGUAAAGGGCACGCAGGCGGGUUUUUAAGUGAGAUGUGAAAUCCCCGGGCUUAACCUGGGAAUAGCAUUUCAAACUGGCAGGCUAGAGUACUGUAGGGGGGGGUAGAAUUCCAGGUGUAGCGGUGAAAUGCGUAGAGAUCUGGAGGAAUACCGAAGGCGAAGGCGGCCCCCUGGGAAAGGACUGACGCUCAUGUGCGAAAGCGUGGGGAGCAAACAGG
rnacentral:rRNA from 1 species